UGGGGAAUAUUGCACAAUGGGCGCAAGCCUGAUGCAGCCAUGCCGCGUGUGUGAAGAAGGCCUUCGGGUUGUAAAGCACUUUCAGCGGGGAGGAAGGCGUUAAGGUUAAUACCUUUGCUCAUUGACGUUACCCGCAGAAGAAGAACCGGCUAACUCCGUGCCAGCAGCCGCGGUAAUACGGAGGGUGCAAGCGUUAAUCGGAAUUACUGGGCGUAAAGCGCACGCAGGCGGUUUGUUAAGUCAGAUGUGAAAUCCCCGGGCUCAACCUGGGAACUGCAUCUGAUACUGGCAAGCUUGAGUCUCGUAGAGGGGGGUAGAAUUCCAGGUGUAGCGGUGAAAUGCGUAGAGAUCUGGAGGAAUACCGGUGGCGAAGGCGGCCCCCUGGACGAAGACUGACGCUCAGGUGCGAAAGCGUGGGGAGCAAACAGG
rnacentral:rRNA from 1 species